rnacentral:lncRNA from 1 species
GUUGUGCUUUGUUAUUAUAGAAAAAGAAUGUGAUAGGGGAGUAAAGAAAAGCCAUUUCCUUCUGACAGAAGGGUGGAGAGAAGAAAGGAAGCAUGACACCAGGAUCCUGCUACAAUUCUCAAGUCUUCUUUCCAGAGAAUGUGGUCCUUGGAGAAUGCCAGCCUCACAAUACAGAAGUGGAGUUCCUGAAGGAGGGAUUUCUGAUCCACGAGAAGACUGAAGCACUGACUACAGCUUAGAGUUUCCGCCAAGGUUAAAUAAAGAAUAGAACGGCAGCUUCAAACGCACUUGGCCCCGUUAGGAGUAUGAGCACUGCAGUCCACCGAAAGCUCCUCGCUGCAGGACUCUCCAAGGUCUG